GAAGGGGAGGGGGUGGCAGGGGUAAGGAUGAAGAAAAUGGGGCAUGGGAGGCAAGGAGAGAGGAUGGCGAGGAGAGAUGGAGCUGUCUCUCUAACUCUCUCUCUCAGCUGUCUCUCUAACUCUCUCUCUCAGCUGUGCAGUGCCACUGCAGGAAAGGGGGCAGGAUAAGCAUGAGACCCUCUCCCUCUCUUCCCCUCUUGAGACAUGUCCCAUGCUAAUUGAAGAACUGUCCUGCAUUACAUGCAACUGAACAACCCCCAAAGCUUGGCUCCACCCCAGCUUAUGGCCCAGCCUAUGAAAGCUCUGCUACUAGAUUGACACAGAAAGUGGUCAAAUUGUUAGCACCUCUAUAUCACCACUGUAUAACAAUGAAUGGUAUUAAAAAAUUCAACAGAAACACCA